rnacentral:rRNA from 1 species
UACAGAGGGUGCAAGCGUUGUUCGGAAUUACUGGGCGUAAAGGGCGCGUAGGCGGUUUAGCAAGUCAGAUGUGAAAGCCCGGGGCUUAACUCCGGAAGUGCAUUUGAAACUGCUAGGCUAGAGUGUAGUAGAGGAUGGCGGAAUUCCCAGUGGAGAGGUGAAAUUCGUAGAUAUUGGGAGGAACACCGGUGGCGAAGGCGGCCAUCUGGGCUACAACUGACGCUGAGGCGCGAGAGCGUGGGGAGCAAACAGG